GCCGCCCCGGCCCUGGGGCUUCCUCGCCGGGUCGCUUCCACGCUUCGGCGGCGGGUGGGGGCCGCAGUAAACCUUGACAAAGCUAUGGGGAGUUUCUGGGGUCCCAAACAGGCUGGGGUCACAAUGGCAGCGAGGCAAAUUCACAUUUCCUACGCAACAUGCGUCCCAGUCAGCCUGUGCCCCACCCCCAGCCCGUAUGGCGCUCGGGGAGAAGCAGCAAAGGCGCCUCCGCGGGGCCCAGGCGGCAGGCAGGGUCAGCACAGAGGAGGAGGAGACGGGCCGGCCGGACACGGCGCUCUCGGCCUCCUAGGCAGAGCAGGCCCCGGCCUCGGCACUCAUCUGCCCGCUCAGCUGGUGCUCUUGUGCAGUGAGCAACAGGAGCAGCGCUUUCACAGAAGGGAGCGAAGCGCCCGCCGCAGGGAGCCGUGUUAUGACACCGUCACAGGAGAAGAGAGGAGAGCAUGUGACAGUAUGCCUAUAUUCCCCGCUGAGCCAAUCUUCGCUCAAGUUCACUACUUAGCACGACCACAAGCAGAGGUAGCGGAGAACUGAUGUCAGUGAGGGCGGCGAUGGUUGGUGGUGACGGUAGUGAGCGCUGACUGAGCGCCAUCCGUUCGGCCUGAACUGAGCCUUUGUACAUGUAUCUCGGUGAAACUCUACAGAGCCCCUGGGUUGGCCCCAUUUUACAGACGAGGAACUGAGCUUUGCAGAAGCUGAAUCUGCUAGCUCAAGAUAACCCAGCCCGGCACUCGCACGAGCUCUGAGCACCUCUGCCCAUUCUUGGAUGCACCAGCCUCAGAACGUACCACAUUUGGUGAAGGAGUCCUUUGCCGCUCCUGAUAUAAAAUGUCUCCGACCACAUAGCGCAGGAAUAAGGAGUGAGUGAAACAAGCCGGACACAAAACAGACAACGGUGUCUCUGCCGCGGGAGAAAUCCCUGAGGGUUUCAGCUUUAAUCUAUGACAUCCAUUAGGCAGCAGCCGCUUCCCUUGCUCCUCCACAUGCGGGUACCGAGAGCUUCAGAGUGGGGCGCACCUACGGCGCGUGUGCCACGCAGAGCCUCUCUGUCAGCACCCAAGCCGCGUUUGACGGAUUAUCAGCAUGCAUACAAAGCACAGAUCAUACCGACUGCCAAAGCACAGCAAAUGCAGACUUUCAUCUCCCGAUAAAAUGCCCUUUGUCUCUUGAAAGUUGUGUUACCGUCUUUCUUCUAAGAUAGAAGAUGUUAAUAUAUGAGUUGUGUUUUCUGAACUAAAACCUCGGUGUUCAGGUUUAACUGGAGUGCUGGCACUUUGGAAUAAAUGAGUGGGCUUUGGGUUGCAGUUUGGGCCUUUGGUCUCUGAAAGAUUCGCCAUUACUGGCCUAAAACACCUGGAAAUUAGAGCUCACGCUGCUGUCUGAGGCAACCAGCUCCUGCUCUCUGCGCCCUGGACCAGCCAGGUCCAUCCUCGCCUUGUUAGCAUUUA
rnacentral:lncRNA from 1 species